AUGCGACAGGCACGGUGUGGACGUGCGCUAGGUUUGGACCCUGGAUCUGCAGCUGAUAACAUGCCAGGAGGCUCCUUGGGAGACGACAAAGGAUGUACGUGCCAUAAGCGGCAGCAGAGUAGACACGGACUAGGACAUGAGGAGCACACACGUGGGGACCACAUGGGGAUGAUAUGGUGGGCGGCUGAACAGGAACGGAUGGAGGCUCAACUCCUGCCUGGGGACUCAGAGCCAAGGCAGGUCAGCACAGGUCAGCACCCGGGGGUUGGGGGGACCCACCUGAGACCCCAAUGGAAACAGCUGCGUGCUCGCUCGUGGGACAGCACGUGUGCAGACAGGGGGAGCACGAGAGCCACGGGCAGACAGGAGCUCCAGCAGAGACCCACUGUCCACCCCAUGGCCCCAAGGUCACGGCCUGAGCCCUGGCGCCCCCACCGAGCCCACCGCCUCCUGAUUCUGCAGCAGCCCCCCGGGUUGCAGGCGCUGCUCUGAUGGGCCGGCUUGGAUUUGGAGAGAUGCAUGUGUUCCCAAAGGAACAGGAAGUUCUCUGACUGCAAGCUUCUCAGCUCUCAGCCUCACUGCCACUCAGGCCUCAGGCCUGUACUGGGGCCGGGCUUUGUCUUGCCCACACAGGCAGGGCAUCUCCAGAGGCUGGAGGCAGGAACAGGGGAGGCCCAGACCCUUGAGCUGGGCCUGGCGUCCUCAGUGCAACCCCAUCCAGGAGCUCAGACCAGCCCAGUAGCUGCCUUAGUGAAGGCUGGGGAGGAUAGCCUGCGGACUCGUUCACACUAAUGUGUGAAUGACUGAUGGCCUUUUAAUAGGGCAUAUACAUUUGCAUUUUUAGAAUAG
rnacentral:lncRNA from 12 species